rnacentral:rRNA from 1 species
UGAGGAAUAUUGGUCAAUGGACGAGAGUCUGAACCAGCCAUGCCGCGUGCAGGAAGAAUGCUCUAUGAGUUGUAAACUGCUUUUAUACAAGAAUAAUAAGCUCCACGUGUGGGGUGAUGAAUGUAUUGUAUGAAUAAGGACCGGCUAACUCCGUGCCAGCAGCCGCGGUAAUACGGAGGGUCCGAGCGUUAUCCGGAUUUAUUGGGUUUAAAGGGUGCGUAGGCGGGACUUUAAGUUAGUCGUUAAAUAGUGAGGCUCAACCUCGCAGUGGCGAUUAAUACUGGAGACCUAGAGAUUAGAUGCAGAGGGCGGAAUGUGUAGUGUAGCGGUGAAAUGCUUAGAUAUUACACAGAACACCGAUUGCGAAGGCAGCUCUCUAAUCUACAUCUGACGCUCAGGC